rnacentral:lncRNA from 1 species
CAAACAUAGUAGGUAUACUAAUGUCAAAAAAAAAUUACCUUCAAAAUGUAAGUAGUUUCAUAAAAUAUGGUCCAAUUAAUUGAUUAUUAAGUACUGUACAUACAUUGGGGGCUAUUGAUUUGGUCCAUUACACUAAGUCCAUUCCAGUAUAAUAGUUAUGCUUCAUCACUGAAUAGUAUUAUUUUCAUCAACUAUUUUGUACUUGUGAAUUGGAUUUUUGGAAAACAUUAGUAAAAUACCUUAUUGUUAAUUAACUUUGAUCGUAGUAUAAGACCUAUAAGAAUAUGAUUGAUAACUAAUAGAUACAUUUUUAUUGAGUUAUCGUGUUCCAAUCAUCACAUGUAUGGAAAUUAAAUAUGUAAACAUUUGUGUAUUCUAUAUUCACAGUUAAUUAUUUUAGUGCAAAUGAAUUCUUAUUACACUUAGUACAAAUAAUACCAACAUCAACAUUCUAAAAUAAUAUCAAUUUUAAUAUUUGAAACAACUAUGAAUGUAUUGAUGUAAUUAUUCAAAUUCAAAAAUCAAUACCUAUGUCGUCAUCACUAAUGUAUGUAAUGAAAAAACAUCAAAUUACUUAACAAGAAAAAUUUGCAAAGUAAAAUAUAAUGAAGAUUUCAAUUUAAUAACAAAAUAACAUUUUUGUUACAAUGAUAAUAUAAGCUAAGCGGUUGUCAACAUUGAAAUAUUUUUGGUGAUGUUGGACUUGUUUUCAAGUUUGUUCUAUAAUCAUUAAUCAAUAAGCAUAGUUAUACCUAUCAUACCCAGAGUAUGCAAAUUUAUGUGUACAUACAACCAUCAGAAGACUAUUAAUAGUAUCCAGUUCAUCUCAAAUAUAAAACAACAUAAAUCAAAUGUUUGAUUUUAUAAAAAAAAAAAAAAUGUAAAUGGUAAAUUAUAG